rnacentral:lncRNA from 1 species
UGCUGUUGUCACUCGUAUUCCAAUUAAUCUUUUUAGUUUUGUUUGGACGCAUGUAUCAAUAUAGUUAGAUUAAAAGUUUUAACUUAAAAGGAAAGUGUAACGAUAAACCAUUUUUUAACUCUUUUAUUUUAUUUUUUCCUUUUUUUACUGUCAUAGUUUUAAAUUUGACUAAAGAUUUAUUUAUCAAAACUGGAGCGUGCUCUGUUUGUUAGGUCGUUUUUAUCUAUUUGAAUUUGGGUCUUAUCAAUAGAUAAUUUCAAAUUUUUAAAUAUUA